rnacentral:misc_RNA from 1 species
CGACCGUAACAGAAGACACAUUGCCCAUUGGAGCAGCACCGUUGCAGAAACGCCACUAUACACUCCCACAUGCCGCACCGGAAUGUGACGGUUUCGAAAGGUAUUUUUGCAAGAACAAAAAGCGGUCUCUGUGAGCUGGCAUGCGACUCUCUCGUUGCCCGAAACUUCUCUUCAGCCUUUCUUCCGCUUCUUAAUCGCAACACUCUCGUUCUUUUAUGGAAGCGAAGAAGCAAAAACGGUAGCUGCGACUUACUCUCCGUAGCACAUCCGCUCUGCUCCGGUGUGGGGUCAUAAUGAAGAAGUACCGCAGCGGAAACUCCGGCCCCUACACGCCUGAGUAUCACGCCUUGCUAGGAAGCGCGCCGUGGAUCGUCAUAAGGCGUUUGCUUAGCCAGCCGCCGAAGGAUGCAAGGGACGAUAGCAGCACCCCUCAGAUAUCUGAAGGAGAUAUUGUAACCGUCUUUUCGCAGUUCGGUGAAAUCGUUGACGUUCGUUUCGUGCGCCACAGGAAAACUGGCCGCUUUCUGGGAACUGCAUUCGUGAAGUUCAAAGACUACCGCAGUGGAAUUCUGGCAGCCGACGAACUUAACAGCAACUACGACAAGGGUGAGCAUUUCUUCCUUUCGGAGGCACAGGAAGGCUCAAUGUCUUCCGGUGAGCAGAAGGGGAUAACAGUGGAGCGGUGUGAGGAGGUUGUUGUGCCUCAGUUGUACAAUGACGAGGUGGAAACAUAUGUGCAGUGGCUGUGCCGGCAUAACAUUACGCUGUAACGUGCGGGUGUCUUGACCAAGAAAGGAAAGACAAC